UACGUAGGGGGCAAGCGUUGUCCGGAUUCAUUGGGCGUAAAGAGCGUGUAGGCGGCCAGGUAGGUCGGUUGUGAAAACUGGAGGCUCAACCUUCAGAGGUCGACCGAAACCAUCUGGCUAGAGUCCGGGAGAGGAGAGCGGAAUUCCUGGUGUAGCGGUGAAAUGCGCAGAUAUCAGGAAGAACACCCGUGGCGAAAGCGGCUCUCUGGAACGGUACUGACGCUGAGACGCGAAAGCGUGGGGAGCAAACAGG
rnacentral:rRNA from 1 species